AAAGGGUCCGUAGGCGGUUUGGUAAGUCAGUGGUGAAAGCCCAUCGCUUAACGAUGGAACGGCCAUUGAUACUGCCAGACUUGAAUUACUAGGAAGUAACUAGAAUAUGUAGUGUAGCGGUGAAAUGCUUAGAUAUUACAUGGAAUACCAAUUGCGAAGGCAGGUUACUACUAGUGGAUUGACGCUGAUGGACGAAAGCGUGGGGAGCGAACAGGAUUAGAUACCCUAGU
rnacentral:rRNA from 1 species